GCGACACUAGCUCAGUUGGUAGAUAGAGCGCAACCUUGCCAAGGUUGAGGUCAUCGGUUCGAACCCGAUGUGUCGCUCCA
rnacentral:tRNA from 1 species